rnacentral:rRNA from 1 species
AAACCAACAGGGAUUGCCCCAGUAACGGCGAGUGAAGCGGCAAUAGCUCGAAUUUGAAAUCUGGCCUAGGCCCGAGUUGUAAUCUGUAGAGGAUGCUUUUGGCGCGGUGCCUUCCGAGUUCCCUGGAACGGGACGCCACAGAGGGUGAGAGCCCCGUAUGGUCGGACACCAAGCCUCUGUAAAGCUCCUUCGACGAGUCGAGUAGCUUGGGAAUGCUGCUCUAAAUGGGAGGUAAACUUCUUCUAAAGCUAAAUACCGGCUAGAGACCGAUAGCGCACAAGUAGAGUGAUCGAAAGAUGAAAAGCACUUUGAAAAGAGGGUUAAACAGUACGUGAAAUUGUUGAAAGGGAAGCGCUUGUGACCAGACUUGCGCCGGGCUGAUCAUCCAGCGGUCUCCGCUGGUGCACUCGGUCCGGCUCAGGCCAGCGUCGGUUGUCGCGGGGGGAUAAAAGCCUAGGGAAUGUAGCUCCUUCCGGGGAGUGUUAUAGCCCUCCGCAGAAUAUCCCCGCGGCGACCGAGGUCCGCGCCCUGCAAGGACGCUGGCGUAAUGGUCAUCAGCGACC